UAGAGCCACACCAGAGAGUCUAUCAGCAGCUCCUGCACUGCAUCUCCCUCUGCUGAGCAGAAGGAUGGGAGAUGGGAGAAAGGUGGUCCAGAACCUUUACACCAAGAGGUGCUUGUCUUCUUGAUCCUGUCCUCCCACAGUCCCACACCCUCUUGAGAGAGCCCAGAUGUUGUUCACCGAUGCCCUGGAAUACAAGACAGAGGGUUGUUGGAUCAGCUGAGGGAUCAAAAGGAUGUGGAGGGACCCACAGAGCCAAUACCCACUGACAUGCACUGCUCAUUAAUUCCUCUAAAUAAAGUGCCCAGCACUACAUCACA